rnacentral:rRNA from 1 species
UACGGAGGGUGCAAGCAUUAAUCGGAUUUAUUGGGCGUAAAGGGCGCGUAGGCGGAUGGAUAAGUCAGAUGUGAAAUCCUGGGGCUCAACCUCAGAACUGCAUUUGAAACUGUCUAUCUAGAGGGUAGGAGGAGAAAACGGAAUUCCACAAGUAGCGGUGAAAUGCGUAGAUAUGUGGAAGAACACCGGUGGCGAAGGCGGUUUUCUAUCUUAUUCCUGACGCUGAGGCGCGAAAGCAAGGGGAUCAAACAGGAUUAGAAACCCCAGUAGU